rnacentral:rRNA from 1 species
UACGUAGGGUGCGAGCGUUAAUCGGAAUUACUGGGCGUAAAGCGUGCGCAGGCGGUUCGUUAAGUCAGCUGUGAAAGCCCCGGGCUUAACCUGGGAACUGGCGGUUGAAACUGGCGAACUGAAUCUGGCAGAGGGGGGUGGAAUUCCGACGUGUAGCAGGUGAAAUGCGUAGAGAUGAUGGAGGAACACCGAUGGCGAAGGCAGCCCCCUGGGCUGAGAUUGACGGCUCAGGCACGAAAGCGUGGGGAGCAAACAGG